AACGAACGCUGGCGGCAUGCCUAACACAUGCAAGUCGAACGAGACCUUCGGGUCUAGUGGCGCACGGGUGCGUAACGCGUGGGAACCUGCCCUUAGGUUCGGAAUAACUCCCCGAAAGGGGUGCUAAUACCGGAUAAUGUCUUCGGACCAAAGAUUUAUCGCCUUUGGAUGGGCCCGCGUUGGAUUAGCUAGUUGGUAGGGUAAAAGCCUACCAAGGCGACGAUCCAUAGCUGGUCUGAGAGGAUGAUCAGCCACACUGGGACUGAGACACGGCCCAGACGACGAGGGGGGGGAGCAGGGGGGAAUGUAGGAGAGGGGGAGAAAGCAUAGAGCAGCGAGGCGGGGGGAGUGAUGAAGCAGUGGGGGUUGUAGGGUUCGUUGACGGGAGAAGAAAAGGAGAGUGCCGGGGGAAGAAGACGCGGAUCAAGCCGGGCCAGCAGCGGCGGUAACAAGCGGAGGAGCACCCGUGGGAAC
rnacentral:rRNA from 1 species